rnacentral:snoRNA from 1 species
GUUUGAAUGAUGACUUCCUACUUUGUCGGAUACCCCUUCACUCUUCCUGUGAGUGACAACAGUGGUCUGACAAAC